rnacentral:piRNA from 1 species
UAUAGUUCACAUAUCAUAACCACGGCUGU